rnacentral:rRNA from 1 species
UUUUUUAAUUGAAAACUUGUAUGAAUGGUUGAAUGAGAAAUUAACUUUUUUAAUAUAAAAAUUGAAUUUUACUUUUUAGUUAAAAGGCUAAAAUUUAUUUAAAAGACGAGAAGACCCUAUAGAGUUUUAUAAUUAAGGUUAUAUUUUUUAAUAAGUUUAUUUAACAAUAUAUAAAUUAAAUUAUUUUAUUGGGGUGAUAAUAAAAUUUAAUAAACUUUUAUUAGUUAUUUAACAUUAAUAUAUGAUUAAUUGAUCCAAUAAUAUUGAUUAAAAAUUUAAAUUACCUUAGGGAUAACAGCGUAAUUUUUUUUUAAGUUCUUAUUAAUAAAAGAUUUUGC